UGCCACACUCCAGCAGUCUUCUUCAAUACCUAAAUGUUACCACGAUCGGAGUGCUUGGCAUACUUUUUCUUUCCUACUAUCUAUUAGUACGGAGAUCCAGAGCUGGUAAGAGAAGAAUAGGACCUGAAGCAGCUGGUGCAUGGCCAAUAAUCGGUCACCUACACCUCUUAGGUGGGUCACAGCUCCCUCAUGUAACAUUGGGAACCAUGGCCGACACAUAUGGGCCGGUCUUCACAAUUCGUCUUGGGGUGCAUCGAGCUUUGGUGGUGAGUAGCUGGGAGAUGGCUAAAGAAUGCUUGACCACCAAUGACCAGGCUGCAUCCUCGCGUCCCGAACUUUUAGCCUCAAAACAUUUGGGCUACAACUACUCCAUGUUUGGUUUCUCUCCGUACGGUUCUUACUGGCGUGAAGUGCGCAAGAUAAUCAGCCUAGAGCUACUCUCUAACCGCCGCCUAGAGCUGCUGAAGGACGUCCGAGCUUCAGAAGUGGUGACAUCUAUAAAAGAGCUAUACGAGCUCUGGGAAGAGAAAAAAAAUGAAUCGGGCCUUGUCUCGGUGGAGAUGAAGCAGUGGUUUGGAGACUUGACUCUGAACGUAAUUCUUAGGAUGGUGGCAGGGAAGCGUUAUUUCAGUGCUUCAGAUGCAAGUGAAAAUAAACAGGCGCAGAGGUGCCGGAGAGUGUUCAGGGAAUUCUGUCAUUUGUCAGGGCUCUUUGCGGUGGCGGACGCUAUUCCUUUUCUUGGAUGGCUAGACUUGGGGAGACAUGAGAAGACCCUAAAGAAGACAGCAAAAGAAAUGGACAGUAUUGCUCAAGAAUGGUUAGAGGAGCACCGUCGGAGGAAAGACUCCGGUGAAGUUAAUAGUACGCAAGACUUCAUGGAUGUGAUGCUGUCAGUUCUUGAUAGCAAAAACCUUGGUGAUUACGAUGCUGAUACCGUCAAUAAAGCCACAUGCCUGGUAUACAUUAUUGGAACACCCACAUAUCAUAUAUAUUUGCAUAUUAUCAGGGCUAGCUUUAUUUCCAUAGGUACUUCUCUUAAUUUUGAAGUGUUACACUGCAAUAAUCAAAUAAAUUUUAUUUUUUAUUUUUUAAAAAUAAAAUUUAAAAAUAUAUAUACCGCUGAAAGAAUUGAUUUCAGAAAAUUAUUCUUUGAGAACUCCUUUGAUAAACUGAGCCAUGUUUCUAGGGAAUACUAAAUAUGAUGUUUUUAAAAACGGCUUAAUUUGUAAUUUUAUUUUUGAGCAAGUUGCAAAAUACUUUAUCUUCCAAUUUUCAUUUUGGUCAGCAAUAAGGGGCAAUAAGGGGUUAUCCAGGUUUCCGAAGUUAUAUUUAAUUUCCCUCGUAGAAAAUAAGUGAGAUCUUGAAAUCAAAAGUUUAAUCAUGUUUGCUUGAAUAAGAAACUUGAAGAUCCUGUAAAGAGAUGACAUAUAUCGUUUGGGCAAUAUACCUAUGUAAGAGAUGGUUGGUUUAGAAUUUUUCUCUUAAACCAUAUAUAGGAGAAAAUGGAAAAAAAAAUACUGUUAUUUUUGUACUAGGCCAUACUAUUUAAUAGUGUCUAAAGAGAGUUUCAUUACAUGCUAUCAAACAAUUAAUUUUGUCUCAUCACCUGCGUAAUCUUAAGUUGUUAUCUUUUGUGUUAUGUAGGCUCUAAUUGUAGGAGGUAGUGACACAACAGUUGUCACUUUAACUUGGGCGCUCUCUCUUCUAUUAAACAAUCGUGACACCUUAAAAAAGGCACAAGAAGAAUUAGAUAUUCAAGUUGGCAAGGAAAGAUUAGUGAAUGAACAAGAUAUCAGUAAAUUGGUCUAUCUCCAAGCCAUUGUUAAAGAGACAUUACGAUUAUAUCCGCCAGCAGCACUUGGAGGACCACGUCAAUUCACUGAGGACUGCACCUUGGGUGGUUACCAUGUCUCCAAAGGCACCCGAUUAAUAUUGAAUCUUUCCAAAAUCCAAAAGGAUCCAAGAAUUUGGAUGAGUCCAACAGAAUUCCAACCAGAGAGGUUUCUAACCACCCAUAAGGACCUUGAUCCUCGAGAAAAACAUUUUGAAUUUAUACCAUUUGGUGCCGGUAGAAGAGCAUGUCCAGGAAUAGCUUUCGCUCUUCAAAUGCUACAUUUAACAUUGGCCAAUUUCUUACAGGCAUUCGACUUUUCAACUCCAUCAAAUGCACAAGUUGAUAUGUGCGAGAGCCUUGGACUUACAAACAUGAAAUCUACCCCACUUGAAGUUCUCAUUUCUCCACGCAUGUCUUUGUUAUAGUCUUUACAACUAAAAUAUUGAAAUAAAGAGGUCAAAGCAGGCCUAGCUAGCUAGUCUUAGUUUAAAUACAUCUUGAGUUAGCCUUAAGAUGCAUAAGAUAAGAUUUAGGAGUGUAUUAAAAAUAGUUUGGACUGAAAAUGAUGUAUGGUAAACUAAACUAUAAUCUAUUCCAAUAAAAGUAUAGUAUUAUAUAUUAUUUGGCCAACCUUUUAAAAUUUAGCAUCAUAAAUUUGAACAUAUAUAUAAACCUUAGUCUAACUUUAUUUCUCUAUUUUGUGUAGUUUAUUGACACUUUUUUUUUUUCCUUUUUUUCACCAAAACAGGUAAUACAUAGUCUUUUCAAAAAUAUUACCUAUAUAAGAAUUUUAUUAUUACAUAAUUAGAGGAUGUUUGGUAAAUCAAUAUAAUGGCUUAAUGACUUAUUUAAGUCUUAACUAGAUUAAGAAUAUUUGGUAAAAUAACUUAAAGAAUAAAUUAAUUAUUUUAACUUAGUACUUAAAAUUAAAUACUUGACCAAGCAAAAAAAAAAAAAAAAACUUUUAUGGAAUAAGGGCGAGAAGGAAGAGAAAAAGGAUUAGUAGUUGCCUAGCCGAGGAACUUGAGGCCGACAUUCAGAGUGCGGUCCCGGAGUUCAAGACGCCGCCUAAAACUAGUGUCGAUCAUAGAGAGGCAUUUAUUUUUCAAUGAAACAAACCUCAUCUCUUGUUCUCUCCCGCCUCAACAGCAGAGCUAAGUGCGGAUACAGAUCUAGAUGCAAGAUGAUCUCGAACCGAUUUCAUAACCACCAUCCAUCACCAACCAAUCACAUUCCACAUCCCACUUCAAACUUUUUUAUUCCUCAGGCAGCCUCCUCUAUAAAGGCAGUCUAGCUUUAAAGGCAGGUGAACUGGGUCAAGAAGGAGUUUGACUGCUGGGAAGGGAUAGGAUCCUACUCGAAGCACUCCACCACGAAUAAGAGUCUCUGGGUUGGAUAGGCAGUAGAGAUAGGAACUCCUAUAUGUAGGGUGGGCUUUCAAGAUAGAGGUGCACUACUCCAUUUGUAAAGGGCUUUCUCUCAUAGGGAAAGAGAAUGAUUAAGGAAUACCAAUUAAAGAAGGGUGGUCGUAGAUCAGAUAUCGAUUAACUGCUUGCCAGCCUAUCCCGAAUUGACCAGUUGACCAAGCAGGAAUACCUAUACUAAUUGCGACAUGAGAGACCGAUAGAGUUUAAUAGACAGCUGACAGCUCGCGAUUGAGAGACUUUCUAGUUGAGUUGACAGAGAAGCGAUUACAAGGGAUAGGGGAAAAAAGACAGAUGGCGCACAUAUUGACUUAGCAAAAAGCAGUUAGCGGGACUCAGUUCGAGGUUUUAUUCCUCUUUCCUGAUUCGUGAAUAGAUGGGACUCUUUCAUUUUGCUUUCUUUCUUCACUUCGAUCUCUGCCACUCUCGCCUGUCAGAGAUAGCCUGGUCUUUUAAAGUAUACGAUUUCCAGGUUAUUAAAUUCCUAAAUUCAUUCCAAUUGGGGAAUAAUAAAAGAUGUUAUUAACUUCAAGUAAUCCCAAUAUUUAUAGCUAAAGCCCUAGAGGACGCGUUCUUAAACCUUUUCGCUACGUGAAAUUUAAGCAAGAUCCCGUCGGUUCUAUCUUUAGCGAAAUCUUCCCUUAGCUUUGAUGCCAGGUGAUCAAAAGAGAUUACCGAAUAGAGCUCUUACUCAAACCAUCAUUCUUUUCUAGUUAUCACACUCAGAUAGAGGGAAGAUUUAGAUUUGUAUCCCAACUUAUUAAUCCAACUUCCACGAGGUAAGUCAAAUGCUCUAUGGGCGAUGUUUAAGCAAUGUCUACGAACCUAGACAAAAAGGGCUUUCAUUACCAUGUUGGAAUUUUGAACAACACCGCCUACCAGUCGGUAUACGACGACAAAAAGGCUCAGAGAAGCGUUUAGCGAGUUUGAUGGGGCCCAGAUUGUCGUAAAGUUUAACAAAGCAUGGGGGUCUCUUUGUGACUAUGCAAUUAAAAAGAACGAACAACCUCUGACUUGGAGGGAAGAAAGCCUCGCCCAAAUAAAGGAAUGGGUCAAUGCCAAGAAAAUUCAUAGGAAGACCGAUACAGAAACAAAACUAAAAAAGAUUGAUAGGAUGUCAAACAAAGAGGAUAGGUUCCAAGUUUAUGAGGAUUUAGUAUUUGCGCAAAAGUUCCUAUCUUUCUAUUCCUCGAUCAAGUCUGUUUUCGAUGAUUUGAAAAUCUUAAAAGACAUCAAGAGAGAACACCUUGUCAAAUAGAAUUUAUACGAGCAUGGGAAACCCAAUGAAUACGACAUUGAGGAAUUGAAUUGGGGGAAAAAGACUGACUUAUUUAUUGCUUGAUUUGAUUGCCUAUCAACUUGCUUUUAGUAGACCCAUCAAAACAACUAUUCCUUUUUUAGGAGUCGAGUACCUAAAAAACGAUCAUUCUCCAUUUUCUGUCAAAAGUGCUCCGAAUCUACUUUGCUAACUCAUAGAGAAAUGACUUCGUGGGGGCUCACGAUUACUACAAUUUAUGGGUAUUUUUUUAGUUCCAUGAACCAAACACGGGAAGCACAGUCAUUGGAGCAUCCGAAACAGGAACGACUUAUGCUAACACACUCCUUAAGAUUCUGGAUGGGCAUGUCGACUUGACUCCAAAUACAAUCAAAUUAUAACAAAAAGAAGAAAUGUACUUAUAAGAAUCAAAAUUCUUGCAAAUAAACUUCCCUUGUGUGUUAGGGACCCUUUCAAGCAAGGUUCCAAACAUGAAGAUUCUUUUCCAAUAAAAAGAUUGUAGAAGAGGCACAGAUCAGAUCAUAGAAACCUUGUGGGGUUGCAUACAACGCCAAAUAACAAGUAGCGCUUUCGUACAACGAGAGAGGAUAAAGAAGUCACCCUAAUCAACUACAACGAAUGCAAAUGUGUAUUAUUACCAAACCUAAUACCACUAGAUUCAUUUCUUAGUUAUAUAAUAUAGUAGCAAACAUGCAGAGAGAAACAAUACCCAUACCUGUUGCGAAUUCACAAGGAAACAUGGCAGCGAGAAAUUUUUUACGGACGGAUCAUUCAUCACUCAAUUAGGCCAAAUAGCAAGGCUAUACACUGUGGCGUAGAAUCCAGCAGGAAGACGACUUUAUGAAAAUGAAAAAGAUCCCCAUAGUGAUACUUGACAUAGAAUCGAAAAGAAGCCAAAGCUACCAGUACGUAGAAGAUGCGGGGGAAGAUGAUACAGGACUUUCUUUAAUUGAUUUUGCCAUUAUCCCCCUGAAGAAAAAAAAAAGACAAAAUAUAUUAUUAUAUAUUUAAUAACAUAUGUAAAUGGAGGGAGGCACCCUUAUUUUGUUGAAAUACAUCCGUGUGACGGAAGACAACCCAUCUGGUACCUACCACUACUCGAAAACCACUUUAUCCAACGGUGUGGAGAAGUUAAAACGAACAUUGUCAAAAUUACGCAACUGGGCCCCUUCUUGAGUGAAAAUGGCAAAGAGAAGAGGAAGUCAGAAAAACUCUACCCAUAUUGAUCAAACUAUACCAAAGCAAAGUCUCAUGCAAAAAAGAAAUGAAACAAAAGAAGGCAAGACGAGCAAGAAUUUGGGAUAACAUGUUUCAUAAACGAAUUUAGCCCUCAAGAACAGAAAGCAUAGGUUGAUGAACUCAUUAGACAAGCCGAGAACACAUACAACUACCCAAGAUUCUGGCUAGAGCUGUGCACAAGUAGGAACUUUAGCCGCCACUAGUACGUACGACAAGUGCAGUGCUUCUGCCCUCUUAUCUUGUUCCUGAACUGGAGGUACACUUGGCCCCUUGUUACAUGACUUUUUUAUAUCUUUAUGGUCUGAGAUAUCAAGUCGUAAUACCAUUGGUUCUUUGAUAAAAGUUUGUAAUGCACCAAUGGUGUUUUAGUUGCCCCUUGAGGGAACCGAUCCUUGUGGUAGAGGGCCAAGAAAAGAUAGCGUGCUUGUGUUGAAAGCGAGCAAGCGGGCAAACGGGUGAACGAAUCACCAACCGAACUAGACACUCGGUUACUAGGAGCAUCCCUUUAUCAGCAUCUUCAUAACUGUCUUCAAGCUUCUAGGCCUCAGAAACACAAUAGAAUCUCGUGACCGAGUGAAGGGCGAAUGAGCUACCACGUCCCAGCUAAAAAUCUUACUCGAUUUUAGCUACUCCCGUAACCGUCCCUUUGAGUACUUAUGGCAAUUCUUUACCUUAUUUAUACCCAUCUUAAAGGAUGGGACUUGAUUUAUCAUUUGAAUUUCUGUCCAAAAAUUGGACUGAAAGUGAAUAUGUUUUCUCUAUUGUAGAAGUUUACAUCUGGAGCUCCCUCGAGUGGUAUUUGUUGGUCGUAAGUCAAAAAAGGAAAGGAAUGAGGGGCAGGACCGAAGACCUACAACCAUAGGCUAGAGACUGAAGAAUCCCGUAACCUAUUUUGAGAAGGGCAAGCGAGUUUAAGCAUAGUCAUUCGAUUUGACGCCUACCUCUUUCGAGAUGAUAGAGAAAGGAGAGUAGGAGCACGAGAAGGAUCAGGCGAUUCUGAUUGUUAGCUAGAGCGGAACGAAGAGAGGCAGAUGGAGUUUUUGAAGCCGACAAAGUGAUUUACUAUAUUGUGGAGCUUCCACCAACAGUAGUUUUUCCACCAUAAAGGGAGAGAUAUUGCGCUAGGUCAACUCGAGCAUAAGGUUACAGAUAGACUUCUUCCGUUCAAUCAGAUGGGACUCUUUGUUGAGAGUUCUAAAGCUAGGUUUGCCACUUUAAACCCAGCAGAUGCAAAGCAAAAGCCAAAAAACUAGCAACUCUCUUACUUUAACUAAUUGCUUGACUCAUUUCUAUCCGAUCAGCACUGGUUUAUGCUGUCUCGAAAACAGGAACUUAGGAUUUUUAUACCGAGAUUCAAGACAAGAAGUCUCGAUAUUCCUUAUAUGGGAAAAAAAAGGAAGUGGAACCUUCUAAAGGCCCGAGUUACGAUGUUUCAAGUUCAAUGAAGGAAAUUAAGAGAACUUGAAAAGGAACCAUGACUCUAUUAGCUUAGUAGCUUAGCUUUGUAAGCUUGCUUCUUUGGUUAGACAGAAAGCAUCCUACUUACUAUUGAAGUGGAAAUCAUUCUCUAGGUCGAUAAUAAAAUAGCGAUUUCAAAGUAGAGAGAAGGACAGACUAUAUAGGAAUUUCUUAGGGCAAAAUUCUCAAGGGCUAGCUAGCAAGAAAGUGAUAGUCAUGGUUACAGCGAGUGAGCAUAUUGGAUUAAGUUUACAAUCUCCGAUAUUAUCCAUUUCAGAAUCUUUCACUAUCGAGGGGAAAUUGUUUUUUUAAGAAAAGGGGGGGGGGGGGAAGCGAUCCAGACGAGGACAGUCUCAGAGGAUAUUCAGGUUAUCACACACAGAGUGUGGGUCCAUGCGAGCAAGGCUUAGUAGCUUUCCAUGAUGAUCCAGCCGAUCAAAUAUGAUUCUAGCCAAAGCCAGUUGGGAGAAAUGAAUUUCUUGGGCCUUACCCGGCAUCUAAGGUUCCCUUGCUUAAUUUAUUCUUUAUCUCAAUUUUUUUUUCCUUCACUUAUCCAUGUUCAAUAAAACCAUAUUUUACAAUUAUGACUUUGAAUUUACAACUCAUCUUUUAUAGUAAAUAUUUUUGUAAUUUAUUUACAAUACUUUAAAUGUAAAUAUUUAACAACUAAAUUUAUUAUUAUUAUUUAAGAUUAGUAAAAAUAUAAAUAUUAGUUAAAAUGAAUGAAGAUAAAUAUAUAGAUUUUAUAAUUUAAAAUAAAUAUUAAGUUAAUUCUAUUAAACAAUCCUAAUAUUAAAAGUAAUAAAUAAGUAAUAAAUUUUAAUUUAAUAAUUUAACUUAAAAUUAAUUUAAUCAAAUUAUUAAAUAAUAAAUAUUAAGUUUCAUCCCGGAAGUGAACGUUAAUCUCAACCACCUUGACACAAUUAAAUAUUGAACCAUAAGUUAACAUCGGAGCAUAUAAUUAAUUCAUUUCAAAGAUCACGGAAGAUCCUUUUGGUAACGUGGCUCCAUUGAUAUAGCAUUCUAUUUAUUGACCGCUACGUAUUAUAUAAAUUUAAAGAUCAUGGAGAGGAUCUUGUUGGCAAUCAUUCGUAAGGAGAAGGGCAGUUUCCUUCAUAAAAUAAUACACUUUGAAUAAAAGUAAUCUACACAACAUCAUAGCAGAUGCAAGCAAUUUUGGACGGAUUACGAAAGUCAAACCUACUGGGCCACGCCCGUUACAACAUCUCGAAAUAUGGUAGUAUAGAUAGAUGCUUAAGCUGGAAAAACACCGACAGAUCGAUCUAACCAUGGCGGUGCCACACUCCAGCAGUCUUCUUCAAUACCUAAAUAUUACCACGAUCGGAGUGCUUGGCAUACUUUUUCUUUCAUACUAUCUAUUAGUACGGAGAUCCAGAGCUGGUAAGAGAAGAAUAGCACCUGAAGCAGCUGGUGCAUGGCCAAUAAUCGGUCACCUACACCUCUUAGGUGGGUCACAGCUCCCUCAUGUAACCUUGGGAACCAUGGCCGACAAGUACGGACCGAUCUUCACUAUCAGGCUCGGGGUGCAUCG
rnacentral:lncRNA from 1 species